GGGACCUUCUGAAGUUAUUCUGUACAGGGAAGGGUUAAUUUUAAAUUUAAACUGGAUCUGCUUCUGCAACUUUAACAUUUUUUAUCAUUAGACACAGAUAUAAUGGCCUGCCUGAGUGAGAUAAGCUGAGCUGCCCACCUGUGAAGGACUGUAAGGAAGGGAAAUUGACACAUUCCCCUGCCUGAGGCUUGCCAUUCUAGGAGACAUUUGCAAAGAUUGAAUAGUCUUUUUACUUUGUUUCCUCACCUCCCCUCAUCUCUGAUCCUUAAAAGAACCUGGCAACCAGGCCCUGGGUAACCGCAGCAGCCCAGAGGAAAUCCUGCCACCUUGUGACCAUUCUCCACUAUAGCAACCUGGAAAUGAUUAUGGGCGCUUAAUAAUCACAACUGUGCAGUGUAAAGAUAACUACCCUCAAAAACCCUCAGGAGUAACUAAUCAAACAAAAAUGAAAAAAAAGCUCAAGCAGAAGAAGGAAUUCAUAGGGCCUGGACUCCAUCUUAGGCCUGUUCAUGCUGAUCAUGCUCGGCCACCUUUCCAAUGGACUCUGAACUCUGUUUGGUGCCUAUGAAAACAACAACAGAAGGAGAAGACCCCCUCCAGACCGGGGAACCUUGAUGAUCUAUCUAGGUUACUCAUUGCCUAAGAGAAAACAUACACUAAUCACCCCUUCCUCCAGACAGGCCAUAAAUUUUUCUGUAUCUAUC